GCUCCCAUGAUGGAAUUGGCAUACAUACUAGACUUAAAAUCUAGGUUCUGUGGGUUCGAAUCCCACUGGGAGUA
rnacentral:tRNA from 1 species